GAAAAGAGAAAGUGAACGAAGAUAUCGAUUAAAUUCGAUAAAUAGUGGCUAGGUAUGAAAGUAUAAGGACUCAGCAUACAAGCCGAUCCCCGAACUCAAAUUGGUGAAGUUUCUAUCUUUUUGGAAAAUGGCAUUGUACCUAGGAUGUCUUUUGGUCAUUUUGAAAGUAUCUAAGUUGUUAAGUGAUAUUUUGGUAUGUUUUGUAAAUGUUACCAAAACCUUAAGUAUGGUAUGUUUUGAUAUGUUAGUGAAGAGUAAUAAGAGGAAGUGUUGGUAAA